UGUCAGGCCCAAGGGGCAGGCUGAGAGGGUUGACCUGAGAUGAUUGUGUCUCUCUGUCCAUGGUAGCAGUGCUGCUGGCACCUGUUGCUACUGCCCUCUUGGUCCGUUGUGGCCUCAGCGAUGGUUCUGUCCUUGUCUCUUGGCUACACUGUAUGCUGGAUGUGGGGCAGACCCUGAGCUGUGCUGCUCUUUGGUGCUGCCAUCACUGUGCUUCCAGCAAGGGAGGGGUCCGUGACAGUGGGUGGAACUUGCUUGAAGCUGGUGGAAGAUGAGCCUUGAUUUACCACUGUUGGAUGUAUUUUUUUUUAAAACAGCAAUAAUUAGCCAUUUUAAAGAAGGGGUUUACCUGCAUAAAUGUGCAUGCCCAUUGUGUAUGUGCAUCUGUGCACAUGUGAGUAUGUGCAUCUGAGAGUAUGUGUUUGCAUGGUGAGUGAGUGUGUGUGUGUGUGUGUGUGUGUGUGUGUGUGUGUGUGUGUGUGUAGGAACUGUGCAGCACCCACGAGGCCAUCUUCUUGUCAGGCCCAAGGGGCAGCCUUCGAGAGUUGACCUGAGGUGCACGCACGCACACACACAAGCACAUGUCAUUUGUGAUCAUGUGCUCAUGUGACUAUAUGUGCCCAAGAAAUCACAUUCGUGUGUUGCAUGUGUGUGAGCUGGUGUGAGUACGUGUGGGCAUCUCCAUCCAUGUAUGAAUGUGUGCAUGUGUAUGUUUGUAUGUGCACAUGAGUAGCAGUGGGAGGGAACCUGUGGGGAUGGUUUCUGAUCUGGGAGGCACUUUGUGGUAAGAAGCAGGGUCUUGUGGUUGUCUCUCACUAUGCCCAUUCCUACCCUGCCCUGCCCGGCUCCAUGUGAAUGUAGCACAACCCCACCAGGCCAGCUGAACCUCUGCUGGUCCUCACCUCUGUCCUCUCCCCCACAGCUGAGGGGAGGGUAGAGGAGCUGGAGGUCCCUUGGACAGGACAGGGACUGGGUUUGGCCAGGGUGCAGAGGGUAUGGCACAGUGGUAGGUCUCACUGUUGUGGUUUGUUCCUGAAUUUGUACUGUGAGCCCAUGAUGGGGUGGGGUGUCCUGAGACCCCAGGAUGUGCCAAAAUAGCCCCUAGGGCCAGGUGAAGAGCCGAGUUCCCAAGAAGACAGGCUGGGGGCCCAAGUGGGUGUGUGCCCCUGCCUGCACGGCCCCCAAUGCUGCUGUUUUUCAAUAAAACCAGAAUUGAAGG
rnacentral:lncRNA from 1 species